GGGGCUGCAAUGGUUUCGACGGGGCAUAAGGAGGGUGACUGAAGCCUGCUCGGUAAGAGCAAAUCCCGUAACUGCGAACAACAUCGUACGUUUCUCCCGUCAAGCAGCCCCUGUUGCUGCCUGACCCUAUUAAGGGAGAUGGGGUGAAGUCAGCCUUAUCACCCAAGUGACUCGUGGGGGUGGAAUGCCCCCUUAAAU
rnacentral:tmRNA from 1 species